UUGUCUAAGAAAUGGGCUUUUUUGUUUCUUAUGCUGACAGUUGUAUUCUAGCUCUGAGUCCUGUGAGAAUGUGCUGGUGUGGCCAGUGAAAUACAGUCUUUAUAUCAAUUUAAUAAUGAUACUUGAUGAACUUGCUCAGAAACACCAAGAGGUAACUGUGCUUGUCACCUUCAGCUUCCAUCCUCAUUGAUUCCAACAAUUUGCUGUUAAAUUUGAGGUUUAUCCCACAUCUUUUACUGAGAAUGAACUUGAUUUCAUUUUUAUGAAAUUGAUCAAGAUAUGGACAUACAAGUUUCCAAAGAGUACAUUUUGGCAUAUGAUUCAAAGAUACAAAAAACACAUAUUAUGAAUGUUCUGAUACUGUUCAAAAGCUCUGUGAGUAUGCUGUUUUGAACAAGAAACUUAUAAGGAACAACAAGAUUCCAGAAUUUAUGUCAUUCUUGCAGAUGUCAUUUCUCAUUAGUGAGCUGCUAUCUGAACAGCUUAAUCUGUUAAACAUUUGUUAUACAUUUGGUCUACUAUCAUCCAUUUACAACUGGCAGUAUGUACCAAGAACUCUGUGGAGGACUUUCAUUACCUCCUUCUGAUGUAGCUGUUGUCAUGUCAGAACUUAGUACCAAAAUACAUUUACAGAAAGAUGAAAAAUCUUUUGCAUUUUCUUCAUUUUAACUUUGCAUUUGAUAAUUUUAACAAAAAGAAGUGUGAUCAGUUUUACAGUGAAGUAUUAGGUAAG
rnacentral:lncRNA from 1 species